rnacentral:lncRNA from 1 species
ACAAAAAGCAGUUACUCCACAGAAGACCAGAGGGGUCCUCCCAGCAUUGUGGCUCUAUGAGGAAACUGAGACCCAGAGAUGGAACUGGGAUUCAAAACAAUGUCUAGUGUGACUCCAGAGCCUUUCCUAACUCCUACUUAAAGCCUCUGAGGAAUGCUGAAAAGAGCACAGGACAUAGAAUCCAGUUGAGACCAGAAGCAGCAGCAGUCCUCGACAUCAACUACAACUUUCCUUCGCACAGUGCAUACCCUCUGAUAUACUGAACCCAACGCCUAUCCUCCAGCCCCCUAAGAACUAGAGAGGGAGCCUCACAACAUUCCAAUUUAAUCCUUCAGAAAAUUCAUUACUCUUCAAAGUUGUCUGUGGUUUUGUGACAACGAUAUGACUAGGUGCAAAAUGGCUUGCAACUAAUUAACAAACAUAGAAGCAUCCAACAAACAUAUACGUGCACAAUCUGAGGAUUUAGGGAUGAAAUCAGUUAUCCAGGUUAGAUAUCAACAAAAGAGCAGUAAUUAUAAAGUUUCAUGAAGAAAGUGGCUGUUGAGGUGUGGAUUAUGUAAGUAAGACUGACAACAAGAAAUGAUUUUGUUAUAAUCCAGAAGUAAAACUAAAUAAAUGUUCUUUAAAUUGAUGGAUAAAUAAGAAAGAAUUUAUUUACAACAGUAAAUAAAUCCAAUACUUGUUAUAAAUAAGAUAAAGCUGGCUAUAAAUUCACAUUUUCAUGUGAGCGUUUUGAAGUAUGUGGACAUAAAAAACACACACCUCAAGCAUACUUCUCAAUGAUUUCUGAUAAAGAACACACCUUUGUAACCAGCACAUGGUGUAAAACCAGAAACAGAACAUUACCAGAUUCCUAAACAAGCCUUCUUUGUGCCCCUUUUUAGUCACUACCCUCCCCCAUUCAAGGUAACUUCUAUCUUGACUUCUAACACCACACUUUUAGUUUUGCCUAUUGUUAACUUGAUAUAAAUAGAAUGAUAC